rnacentral:rRNA from 1 species
GACGAACGCUGGCGGCGUGCCUAAUACAUGCAAGUAGGACGCAGUUGCGAACGGGUGAGUAACGCGUAGGUAACUACCUAUUAGAGGGGGAUAACUAUUGGAAACGAUAGCUAAUACCGCAUACUAGUAGAUGGACCUGCGUUGUAUUAGCUCGUAGGUAGGGUAAUGGCCUACCUAGGCAAGGAUACAUAGCCGAGCUGGGUGGGGGGGCGGCCAAACUGGGACGAGGACACGGCCCAGACACCGACGGGAGGCGGAAGUAGGGUAUCGUUGGCAAUGGGGGGAAGCCUGACCGAGGAACGGCGCGUGAGGGAAGAAGGUUUUCGGAUCAUAAAGCUCUGUUGUUAAGGAAGCGGUACUUAGCCAGAAAGCGACGGCUAACUACGUGCCAGCAGCCGCGGUAAUAC